rnacentral:rRNA from 1 species
GAUGAACGCUGGCGGCGUGCCUAACACAUGCAAGUCGAACGAAGCACCUGAAAGGAUUUCCUCUGGGACUGAUCAUUUUGUGACUGAGUGGCGGAUGGGUGAGUAACUCGUGGGUAACGUGGCUUGACCAGGGGGAUAACACGUGGAAACGGCUGCUAAUAUCGCAUAAGCGGCCAGCAUCGCAUGAUGCAGUGGCAAAAACUUCGGUGGAAUACGAAUGACCUAUGUUGGAUGAGCUAGUCGGUGAGAGACGGGGCUACGAAGGCGACUAUCCGUAGCUGGUAUGAGAGGAUGAUCAGCCACACUGGAACUGAGACACGGUCCAGACUCUGACGGGAGGCAGCAGUGGGGAAUAUUGCACAAGGCGCGCAAGCCUGAUACAGCCAUACCGCGUGGGGGAAGAAGGCCCUAGGGUUGGAAAGCGCUGUUGUUUGGAAAGAAAAACAGCAGGUUAAGAACCCGAUGUUCUGACGGUGCCUAAAGAAUAAGCACCGGCUAACUUCGUG